rfam:Stegodyphus mimosarum contig103274, whole genome shotgun sequence.
GCCUUCGUGGUGUAAUGGUCAGCACACUGAGCCGGUAUUUCAGAGGUCCGCGGUUCGAUCCCCGGCGAAGACG